rnacentral:rRNA from 1 species
UGCAAGUCGAACGGACUUUUCAUGAAGCCUAGCGAUUGAAAAGUUAGUGGCGGACGGGUGAGUAACGCGUGGGUAACCUGCCUUGUACUGGGGGACAACAGUUGGAAACGACUGCUAAUACCGCAUAAGCGCACAGCUUCGCAUGAAGCAGUGUGAAAAACUCCGGUGGUACAAGAUGGACCCGCGUCUGAUUAGCUGGUUGGUGAGGUAACGGCCCACCAAGGCGACGAUCAGUAGCCGGCCUGAGAGGGUGAACGGCCACAUUGGGACUGAGACACGGCCCAAACUCCUACGGGAGGCAGCAGUGGGGAAUAUUGCACAAUGGGGGAAACCCUGAUGCAGCAACGCCGCGUGAGUGAAGAAGUAUUUCGGUAUGUAAAGCUCUAUCAGCAGGAAAGAAAAUGACGGUACCUGACUAAGAAGCCCCGGCUAACUACGUGCCAGCAGCCGCGGUAAUACGUAGGGGGCAAGCGUUAUCCGGAUUUACUGGGUGUAAAGGGAGCGUAGACGGUUUUGCAAGUCUGAAGUGAAAGCCCGGGGCUUAACCCCGGGACUGCUUUGGAAACUGUAGAACUAGAGUGCAGGAGAGGUAAGUGGAAUUCCUAGUGUAGCGGUGAAAUGCGUAGAUAUUAGGAGGAACACCAGUGGCGAAGGCGGCUUACUGGACUGUAACUGACGUUGAGGCUCGAAAGCGUGGGGAGCAAACAGGAUUAGAUACCCUGGUAGUCCACGCCGUAAACGAUGAUUACUAGGUGUUGGUGGGUAUGACCCAUCGGUGCCGCAGCAAACGCAAUAAGUAAUCCGCCUGGGGAGUA